rnacentral:tRNA from 2 species
GUGGGUGUAGCUCAGAUGGUAGAGCACCGGAUUGUGGUUCCGGCUGUCGCGGGUUCGAGUCCCGUCAUCCACC